CUGAGCAUUUGAGUCACUGGUGGAACCCCGGCCUUAUCACCUUCAUGCUGGAGAUCUGGGAGCCUGUACACGUUCCUGCUGUGGAAGGAUUUUGGUGCUUUGGAUAAAGGAUUAUGGAUCAGAACCAGCAUAGUUAUCUAUUUAUCUAUCUAUUAUCUAUCCAUCCAUCCAUCCAUCAUCUAUCAUCUGUCAUUUGCUGGUGAAAGAAGAGACAGAGUGACCAUUCUUUAUAAAGAAAAUGACAGAGGACCAGUAGGAAAACAUAAAGAAGUCUGGAAAGUAUUUC